rnacentral:ncRNA from 69 species
UAAGGCACGCGGUGAAUGCCAA